rnacentral:rRNA from 1 species
GACGAACGCUGGCGGCGUGCUUAACACAUGCAAGUCGAACGGAAAGGCCCUGCUUUUGUGGGGUGCUCGAGUGGCGAACGGGUGAGUAACACGUGAGUAACCUGCCCUUGACUUUGGGAUAACUUCAGGAAACUGGGGCUAAUACCGGAUAGGAGCUCCUGCUGCAUGGUGGGGGUUGGAAAGUUUCGGCGGUUGGGGAUGGACUCGCGGCUUAUCAGCUUGUUGGUGGGGUAGUGGCUUACCAAGGCCUUGACGGGUAGCUGGCCUGAGAGGGUGACCGGCCACAUUGGGACUGAGAUACGGCCCAGACUCCUACGGGAGGCAGCAGUGGGGAAUAUUGCACAAUGGGCGGAAGCCUGAUGCAGCAACGCCGCGUGCGGGAUGACGGCCUUCGGGUUGUAAACCGCUUUCGCCUGUGACGAAGCGUGAGUGACGGUAAUGGGUAAAGAAGCACCGGCUAACUACGUG